CCAAUGAGAUCAACUUCCGGCUGGAGAAGGUGAAGCUGUCCUUAGCAGGACCUGGAAUGCUGAGCGACACGGACCACUACUACAAGUCCAUUGAGCCUCUGGGUUCGAUCACCUGGACUGUAGAGUUCCACCCUCGUCUGUCGGGAAGCCGAACCCUCGUUGCUGUGAUGGACUGUGAGAACCUGCGUCAGGUGAUGGGAUCUGCUACAGUCAACAUCAUGCCCUGAGAUGCUGAUUGGUCCACAGAGCUGUGACGCCCGCCCCUCGCCAUUUCCGCCAUUUCCGCCAAUCACAGCAGCUUGAAACUGAGUGGGCGGAGCCUAACCAAUCGCACAAAUCUUUGAUUUCUUCUUUAAUUUCAUUUAGUGCACAAAUAACAUGAAUUUGAUAUUUUUGCUGUUGGAGGAAGCUUUGUGUGACAUUUAAAAAUGAGUUCAGUUAAUAAAUACUUUUUAACAUCACUUCAGCUGGCAAAUUUAGAUUUUUAAUUGAUCUCAGUAUAAAUAUGUGAAAAAUCCAUAUCUUGGAUUCUUGAAGUCGUCGUGCAAACACACAUUCAAAUAAAACCUUUGCUCUGCUUUGUUUGUGAUGAAAUUUACAGUUAAAAGAGUUUUAAAAUGUCUCUGAUUCACUUCAUCACAUUAAGAUUAUUUCCUCUUUCACUGAGUUAAAUCUUUUAACCAGCUUCAGUUCUGAUCAUAACUCCCAAACAAUAUUCAUUUUGAGACGUUUCACCCUUUCAGGGCCGGUUUGUUUCAAUAAUGUCACUGUUGUUGUUAUUUAGGUUGUGUUCAAUGCUACGGGAAUUAAUAAA